rnacentral:tRNA from 1 species
GGCUGUGUGGUGAAAAAGGGAGACACAUUACUCUAUAAUAGGAUAAUCAAUCCUUAGAUGUAAAGAGCUUGAUAACUCAUCCUGGUUCGAAUCCAGGCACAGCCA